UUAAAUAUUUUUAUAAUGAAAUUUUUUAAAAAUAUAUUUUAUAUCUAUAUCAAAAAUAUAAUAAGAGUAAUAUUUUGGUGGAGGUUAAAAGAUCUUCUAACUUAAUAAGAAUUUUGGUAUAUUAUUUUUGGGGGGGAUUUAGAUCUCUUUAUUAAUUUGAUAAAAACAGUCUAAAAAUAUAUAUAUUUUAUCCUCAAGCACAUGUAAGAAUAAGUCUUUACAAAUAUUUAAAAUAUAAGAGGCAAAAAGUAUAAUAAUUCAUAAUGACGAUAGCUUUGGAAUAUGAUGAUCCACUCACAAAGUUGAAAGGCCAAGCAUUACAACAAAUUAAAGACAAAUAGAUUAAUUAAGAACAUAAAUUAAUUUGAAAGAUGAAACAGUACAUAUAUCUAUUUAAAGUGAUAAUUAUUAUUUUUAAUUUAUUCUAUUUAAUUCACUCACAUGUAUACCAACUCAAAAUAUUAUAGAAAUUUUUAUUAGUAUUAUUUAAUUAACUAAAUAUUAAAUGACAUCUCAAUUUAGUUAAAAGGUAAAAUGAUAAUUUCAUUUUGCCCUUUGAGCCUUCAUCAUACCUUUAAUAAUAUAUGAUACAUGAUAUGAUAUUGAUAUGACGAUACAAUAUAAGUAAAGUAAAGUGAAAUCUAUUGACCACACUUGACCUUUGAUUAAAUAAAAUUGACAAAAGUACACAUGAAUCGUCUUAGUGUAUGAUAUAAAUACAAAUUUCCAUGUUAUUAUUAUACAAACACCAUAAGUAGAGUCAUAGGUAUUUUAUAAGUAAUGAAAACGAAGAAUGUAAGAAAGAAAAUUAGACAAGUAGAUAAAUGCAGAAAAAAAUAAUAUCUAUCGUGUAUGUUAGGUUAUAAAUGAAAGACAAGUAGAGUAAAUAGAUUAAAGAGUUACAUUGAUUGAAUUUAAAAUGUCGAAAAACAAAAGAAAUCACAGUUACCUCAUGCAAACGUGAAAAGGCAACUGACUGGUAAGAUGUUCCACUUUCAAAAUGAAAAGGCAAUUCGCAAAUAAAAAUGGAUGCACUCUCUGAGACAAUGGUCGUUCUCAGUGAUACUAGACGUUUUGACUAUUACUCUAAUAAUAAUAAGGUCGUGCCUUUUUUUUCUCGAUAAUGUAUUUUUCUUGUCCGAGACUUUUCCUAUACAAUGAAUAAGCAUCAGAAAAAAAAAAGUGUCAUUAACAUUAUGCUGAUGUUAUUAUUUCCUACUUAGACAAACCAAGCUCUAAAGGACUUGUUGUGAUGUUGUAGAAUUUUCAUCAGAAUCACACAUGAUGUUACUAUUCGAAAAGUUAGCUUAUUGGCAUAUAUACUAUUAUUAUUUUACAAAUAACUCUGGCUUUCCUUCCUUGUUCUCAUUAGGAAAGUCUAGUGUUCCGCCUAGAAUGGCCAUCCGCAACUUCGAGGAGCAUAAUUUAGUGAAAAAAUAAUUCUAGUAUCUCAAAAAGAAGUGUUUAUAUUAUUUUCUAAUAUUCAUUAUCUAAUAUCUUUGUUAAUGAUUCUUUAUUACAUGACUAAUAUUUCAGUGUUGCUAUAAAUAGUUAAUAACUUUCGUAUAAUCAUUCUUUAUGAACAACCGUUAAUGAGUUAUUAUUGCUCAUUAUCACAAUUUAUUUAUUUUCAUUAAAUCUGUUACAAUUUCAUUUAAUCGUAUGGAUGUUUCUUUCCAUUCUAUACGUUACGUAAUGUCCCAUUUAGUGUAUCAAUUAAUGAGCUUCUAAUAUAUUUUCUUGAUAUUGUAAAUGAGUGAUUUCUUCAUCCAUAAAAGGGUAUGCUUCACCCUUGUGAAAGAAAACAAUUGAAGAGAUUAAAAUAAGGCUUUCAACUUUAUACUUCCCAAUCAUACUUUGUCUUCCUUUCUUGGUUAAGUAUUCUUGCAUUUCUUUCUUGUUUUACUAACACGUUAUCAACACGAGUCUCUAACCAACUGAGACCUACUUAAUUCAAAAUUAAUUCCUAAAAGUUAAUCAACUUACUUUUAAAGUCAGGUAUACAUUUAUUUGUUUAUAACAUCUCUAAUAGGACUUGCAUAAAUUUUAUCUCUAAUUUAAUUACUGCGUAUAUAACUGGCUUUAGGUAUUAUUAUAAUACUUUACUAGUCAUAAUAAUCAAUAUGUUUCAGAUUUAUAUUUUUAUGUUGCUUAUAUGCUAGUAACUUGUAUUCUGAAUUAAAUAGUAGGAAAUGUGAAAACAUGCUAAUUAGAAGACUUGUAAAUAUUUUCUUGCCAUAAAUUUAUGAUAAGU
rnacentral:misc_RNA from 1 species